UAAUAUAUUUAAUAACUUAAUUUUAACAUAAUUCCAAAAAAAGUAAAUGUAAAAAUCCAUUAUUCGAGUUAAGGCAUUUAUGGUUAUGGUGAUUUAUAAUGAUUCUGAUGCUAGUUCCUGAUUUUUUCAGCAAUAAGAUUUUUUUUUUUUUAAAUAUUUUCGAAGAACCUUGGUGAAAGUAACUAUACUUUGGCAAUAUAACUAACUAAUGAAACCAAAACUAAAUAGUUAUCUGAACUUACAGGUCUUAGUUAUAGAAGAGGAAAGUCAUCAAGUUGCAUUCUUCACAGCUGACAACUCUCCUGUUUUUUCACACAUGUCCUGGUUUCCUGGUAGAUCUUGUCAUCCUCUGGUUUUAAAUAUUUAUGUUUUUAAAUCAUGUUUUGCCUCUUCCAAUGCAACAGAUCACUGAAUCUGUUGUAUUUAAAAUGUUAGCUUCUUAUUUUGCUGUUACUGACAUAGCUUUGAGUGGCUUCUGAAUGUUGGGAGUUUUGAACGGGUUGAAUGUAUGGUUGAUUUUUCAGGCUUUACCAAUGUGUAAUGAGAAUACAAGCCAGUUGCCUUAAAAAGUUCUCCACAAAGACAUCUUUUUCCUUAGGCAGAUAGUCAUUGUGAGCUUUGCCAUAUUCCUCUAACUGAUGCCUCAUCCAUCAAAAUACUAAACAGACUGGAUUGGCCAAUAUGAACACACUAGGCAUUAGUCAAAGAAGCGUGCAAAAACAGAUUGCAUACAUCAAAUCCUCAUACAUACUUAAGUUGAAACAAAGUGAAGCAGGAAAUUCUCCCAGUUUUGAUGAGAGACUGUGCAGCAGGAAAUUCUUCCAGUUUUCAUGAGAGACUCGCCCUGUUUUUCAGAUUUCAAGCACACCCAACGUAC